UUUUGUGUGCGUGAUGGUGUUAAUUUAUUAAUUAUAUGUAUAUAUAUAGAGUGAGGCUACUAUGCUAUCGGAAGCACGGAGCCUUCCGUGCUUCCGGCUCGUUUUCGAUGUUGCGACUUUCGAAUCGUCGAUCGGCUCCGUUAAACUUGAUCUAGAGUAUUUGGAGUAUCUAGAAAAUAAAUUUUAUUAUUUUUCGAUAUCAUUUGCCUAGUGAUCGAAUGGGUUCAAAAUCAACGAAUUUCGAUGGCCGUAGUGAGCCGUUUGCAAGUUUAACGGUGUAGAAAUAUUCAAAUCACGUAAAAUUUUGAUAGAAAAUUCUUUAUACUAUAUAAAACAAAAUCAAUAUCUUUGAUUUAAAAUUUUAAUGUCAUAUCAUUACAUUUUGUAAGAUUUUUAUUUUCAGCCGUUGAUUUUGAGCCCCUUCGUUCACUAGGCAAAUGAUAUCGUAAAAUCAUAAAAUUUAUUUUCUAGGUACUUCAAAUACUCUAGAUCAAGUUUAACGGAGCCGAUCGACGAUUCAAAAGUCGCAACAUCGAAAAUGAGCUGGAAGCACAAAAGGCUCCGUGCUUUCGAUAGCAUAGUAGCCCCACUCUAUAUAUAUAUAUAUAUAUAUAUAUAUAUAUAUAUAUAUAUAUAUACUUAAUUAAAGAUGUGGCUAUGCAUAAAAGUUGUUUAUUAAACCUAAUUUCAAAGUUUAAAGCACGCAAAAUAAUGCAAAAUAAUAAAUAAUAAAUAAUAAAGAGGGUAAAUUGCAUGACUAGUCCCCAACUAUUAGCGAAGUUUUAUUUGGAUCCUCGAAAUUUCAUUUUCGCCCUCUUACUUUUCAUUGUAUUUGCGACGUAUCGUACGUUUAUUGACUUUUAAUACUGUUGUACAUUUUUUUUUCUAUGUAAAAAUUAAUUCUUGGAAUUUAUAAGCACGAAAUUAAUGAAGAACCAAUGACUUUAUACAGUAGGAAAAAUAGAUGAACUAAAUAUAAACAAUAAAGUAUACUUUAAAUAAAUAUUAAAAUGAAAUAUAAUUAAAAGUUCUGAAUUUUGAGUGUUGAUAAUUAUUUAAGGACUUAAAGUUUAGGAACUAGUCGUCCAAUUUACCCAAUUUACCUUUAUUUUUAUAUUUAUUGUUCAAAAAGCAGUAUUUAUUUGAAUGUUAUUAUUUUCAUUAGGGAUAAUAUUAAGAAGGGCUACGACCGAAGGUUCCUGACGCAAGUGGCAAAAGAUUUGGUUGUUGGUAUCCGAAGUCCAAGUUCGAAUCCUAAUCGAUUCACAUCUCCGUCUAAUAUCUCUCUCUCUCUCUCUCAAAAAAAAACAAAAAGAAAAUAAUAUUAAGAAGGGGUAAUCCCACCAUUGAUCUCUACCGUUUGCCCUUUUUUGCACUGUGGUCCCUAAUCUUUUGUUUUUGCUAUAGAUCCCUAAUCUUUAUAUUUUAUUUCCGUUAGAUCUCAAUCAUUCUAUUUUUUGUUAAUUUUGACAAAAUAGACCAUAGUCUGGUAGCUUUUCGUCAAUUUAGCUACUGAUUUAUCAAGUUAAUUUCCGAAAGAGCUUAAUAGCAUGUCCGCCCAUAAAAUGCAGAUGGAUUUAGGUUUGUGGAGCUUCCAUCCCUAAUCCUCACCGAAUGGGGUCGUCCCGAGCCGCCAAAAAGUAGAGCGGGAGAUGGGAGAUUCCUUUCUUCUUUUGAUCCGUCAUGAUGCGCCAAAAAUUUGUAAAAAAUCAACUCCAAUAUCAACCUGCGCUGAAUAGAACAGUAAGUAGGGGAAAGUAGAAUAAAAGUCAGUUCGCUCGAAGCAGCCAAGAAAACGCCGGAUUCGCUCCGUUUGCGUCCCUAGUGAUGCUCAUCGUUAAGAAUGAGCACUCAAAAAUGGAUCUACGUGCAUCAUGUGCAAAGUCGAGAUAGCUCUAAAUGUUGGAUCGUUGACGCCAACCAUUAAUUUCAAAUUUUCGAGCUGUUAGAAAUACACAACUAAUUCACUUAGAGUGUAUAGACACAGCGUUCACGGAUCUCGAUUGUGAUUUGCCUCAACUAGCCUCACGCUACUUCGAAUAUGACUCGGUCCAACCGGACUACCCGUCAUUUUGAACAUAACUCAGUCAAAUCUGACAUCCAACCACAUGGCACGAUAAUGAUCCUUUUAAACCAACAGUAAAUACAGAAGACGACAUUGAUGGUGCGAUGAAAUUACUACGAAGAGGAGGAAACAUUUCUUGAUGCACCAACCAUCCCCAACAUUGGAUUCGUGUGACAGUUCGUACCAUACCCAACAAUAACAUGAGUUCAAUACAAACUCACCAAAAAUGGUUAUUGGAAAAAGGCAUUUUUUGCAAGUUUUUCUCCAAUUUACCACCAAAUUAAUCUAUGAAAAGCAGAAGCCCUCCCUAACUCAUGUAAAUUUACAAGUGCUUUCCUUUCAUUUUGAUUUUAAACUUUUAGGUACGACGUGCGUAGUGCGUAGUCCCUAAAUUUUUCAAAAAUUGUCUUUUAGUUCUUUGUGUAUAUUUAGUAAUACAGAGAAAAUUAUUACCUAUGGUUUGCGUAUCUGCAUUGCAUAUUUAUCUAUCAUAUAUUUAUUACUUACCGUUCAUUGAAUUGAAUUACAACUUUUAAUAAACAAUUUAGAUAUAUCGUUGAAGUAAAAGUAUGAUAUUGGUAAAGAAUCAGCAAAUUUAUGGCGUGUGCAUAUAAAUAUUUUCACUCUAAGGUAAGGACCAAAAUAAGAUAAUGUGAAAGCUUAGGUAGUGUAUUAAAAUCUUAUUGAAGGUUUGUAGUUUUAAAUGAUGGAAUCAAAAGUUUGAGGACCAAAAUAAAUUUGAAUCAAAGUUCAGGGACUACAAGUGCAGUUUACCCUUUUCAAGACAUUGAACCUACAUAUAAGAGCAAUUUUUUUUUUUUAUCUUAAUAACUUUACUUAUUUAUUUUAUCGACGGUGUUAAAUAUAUUUGUGAACUUAUUUUUUUUAUUUACUUUCGGGUAAUUUAGUAGUAGAGCUAAUCUUAAACUUUCGCAGUUUGUGUCGAAAUUGUGUAAGUUUGAAGGGUCGAUUACAGCAAUAUUCGUUAGAAGUUUAGUAAUAAAUUCCUCGCAAAAACUUCUUUUAAAAUUAAAGGUUAAAUUACAGAAAAACUUCCUAUAAAUACCCACUUUUCUACUCUCUCCCUCUGACUUUCCAAAAUCUAUAUUUUACUCCAUUAAAUUUCAAGUUGUUGCAUUUAGUCCCCCCUCCUUCAGGGUUCCAUCACUAUUCCGCCCAUUUUUUAUAAUUUAUACCGAAAAUAUCCUUCAAAAUAAUAGAAAUAUAUUAAUAAAUAUUUUUUUUAUAGAAUAAGUAAGGGUAAUUUGGUCAUUUUGCCCUCUUCAUUAACACCGUACCUUCUUGAAAAUAUUUUUGAAAUUUUAAGAGAGCAAAAUAUAGAUUUUUAAAUGUCAUAAAAAAAAGUAAAAAAAAAAUCAAAUAUUUAUAGAAGAAUUUUCUAUAAUUUAGCUUAAAAUUAAAUGAUUGAAACACGACUAAUAAUUUUGUAUUAAUUGCUAUAUCUGAUUGUGGUGGUGUUCCGAAGCUCAUAUCAUCUACACAGAUAACACCAUUAUGUUGGUUUCGUAUGGUUUCGAGUUAAUGAUUAGACAUAGCUGAUCAUAUUAUUUAAAAUGGCAAAAAUUGUGUGGAUUAGAAGGUGUUAACAAUAAUAACAUGAGUGAGGCUACUAUCAUGUUGCGACUUUCGAAUCGUCGAUCGGCUCCGUUAAACUUGAUCUAGAGUAUUUGAAGUAUCUAGAAAAUAAAUUAUAUGAUUUUUCGAUAUUAUUUGUCUAGCGAACGAAGGGGCUCAAAAUCAAAGACUGAAAAUAAAAAUCUUACAAAACGUGAUAAUAUGACAUUAAAAGUUUAGAUCAAAAAUAUUGAUAUUGUUUUUUAUAGUAUAAAAAAUUUUCUGUCAAAAUUUCACGUGAUUUGGAUAUUUCUACACCGUUAAACUUGCAAACGGCUCACUACGGUCAUUAAAAUUAUUGAUUUUGAGCUCCUUCAAUCACUAGGCAAAUGAUAUCGAAAAAUCAUAAAAUUUAUUUUCUAGGUACUUCAAAUACUCUAGAUCAAAUUUAACGGAGUCGAUCGACGAUUCGAAAAUCGCAACAUCGAAAACGACCGUACUUCCAGAAGCAUAGCAGCCUCACACGUAAUAACACAACAGCAUGAUGUUCUUUCAAAAUUAUUUAC
rnacentral:lncRNA from 1 species